GUGCUCGCUUCAGCAGCACAUAUACUAAAACUGGAAUGAUACAGAGAAGAUUAGCAUAGCCCCUAAAAAACAAAAACCUGAGUUCCUAUCUCUCACUAUAUAU